ACGCUCGACACCUACGGGGCAGCAGUGGGGAAUAUUGCACAAUGGGGGAAACCCUGAUGCAGCGACGCCGCGUGAGCGAAGAAGUAUUUCGGUAUGUAAAGCUCUAUCAGCAGGGAAGAAACUGACGGUACCUGACUAAGAAGCACCGGCUAAAUACGUGCCAGCAGCCGCGGUAAUCUGAGGCGGGCGUGGCAAGGC
rnacentral:rRNA from 1 species